UCAAAAAUAUGCAGAUUCUGAGAAAUAUUUAUUGAUUAUCAUAGGUUUCUGUCAGAUUUCUGUAUAACGUUAGAGGAAUUAUAUUUAUUGAAUACACCAAAAUGGGCCGAUGUAAUCAUAGCGCUGGAUACUCCUCGGAUGUAGUGUGUUUUCAAUACACACUGGCAGCCGGCGGGCGUCGUGUGCACAUAAUUUAUAACGCUACUACAUAAUAUAUCACGAAGAAGAGCCACAUGACCUGUGACACCUGAAACCACAACAAAGUUUCCAAAGAUCGCUAAAUACUUGCAGAUAACAUGAUUGCAACGAUAUAUGACGCAUUAUUUGUGUUCUUCAAGCCAUGCAGAUAACUUCAUAAUAUAUUACAUUUAUAAUUUGAUAGCCUACAGUGUCAACAGAAGUGAAAACGGAUCAAAGAAAUUGAAGUGGUCAGCCUCAGCCCCUCUGUGGGUGUGUUUAUUCUAAAGUGGCCAGCAUUAUUCACUGAAGCUCAGAUCAAGGAGGAGUUUAGACGCAUCACAACAUAUUCCUUGGAAGAGACAUUCACACGGAAGCUUGAUGAGUACUCACGAGGUCUUUUGCGGCUAAUGCGCGCCAAAGGAGAAGUAGCUGGUUGCAAGAUGUGUCCUCUGCUGGACACUUUAAAU